GACGAACGCUGGCGGCGUGCUUAACACAUGCAAGUCGAACGAUGAAGAAGAGAAACGCGAACUUCGGUUCAAAUUUCACUUCGGAUUAGUGGCAGACGGGUGAGUAACGCGUGAGCAACCUACCUCUUACAAAGGGAUAGCCUCGGGAAACCGUGAUUAAUACCAUAUGACACAUUCAUAAGGCAUCUUAAGAAUGUUAAAGCUACGGCGGUAAGAGAUGGGCUCGCGUCCCAUUAGCUAGUUGGUGAGGUAACGGCCCACCAAGGCGACGAUGGGUAACCGGCCUGAGAGGGUGAACGGUCACAUUGGAACUGAGACACGGUCCAAACUCCUACGGGAGGCAGCAGUGGGGAAUAUUGCACAAUGGAGGGAACUCUGAUGCAGCGACGCCGCGUGAGCGAUGAAGGAAUUCGUUUCGUAAAGCUCUGUUCUAUGGGAAGAAAAGGACUGUACCAUAGGGGUAAGCCCCGGCUAAAUACGUG
rnacentral:rRNA from 1 species